CGCGGGGCGGACGGCGGGCGAUGGGCGAGGGCGCGCUGGCCCCGGGCCUGCAGCUGCUGCUCCGUGCCUGCGAGCAGGGUGACACCGACACAGCACGGCGCCUGCUGGAGCCAGGCGCGGAGCCCGUCGCGGGGCCGGAGGCGGGAGCGGAGCCGGCAGGGCCCGAGGCGGCCCGGGCAGCGGAGGCCGGGGCGCCGGUGCCGGUGGACUGCUCGGAUGAAGCGGGCAACUCGGCGCUGCAACUGGCUGCGGCCGGUGGCCACGAGCCACUCGUGAGGUUCCUGCUGCGCCGCGGAGCCUCGGUCAACAGCCGCAACCACUACGGCUGGAGCGCGCUCAUGCAGGCGGCCAGAUGUGGACAUGCGAGUGUGGCAAACCUCCUUUUGGAUCACGGAGCUGAUGUCAAUGCUCAGAAUCGUCUGGGCGCCAGUGUGCUCACGGUGGCUUCUCGGGGUGGCCACCUGGGUGUGGUGAAGCUGCUGCUAGAGUCGGGUGCCAUCGUGGACCAUCACAACCCUUCUGGAGAGUCACCAGCAACUGGAGGCAGCAGAGACGAACUGCUGGGCAUCACAGCCCUGAUGGCCGCCGUCCAACAUGGUCACGAGGCUGUGGUACGCCUGCUGAUGGAGUGGGGUGCGGACCCCAACCACACAGCCCGGACGGUGGGCUGGAGCCCUCUGAUGCUGGCAGCCCUCCUUGGGAAGCUCAGUGUGGUGCAGCAACUGGUUGAGAAGGGAGCCAACCCCGACCACCUUGGCGUGCUGGAGAAGACGGCCUUUGAGGUUGCCCUUGACCGGAAGUACAGGGAUCUGGCUGACUACCUGGACCCACUGACCACUGUCAGGCCGAAAACAGAUGAGGAGAAGAGGCGACCAGAUAUCUUCCACGCCCUGAAGAUGGGAAACUUCCAGCUGGUCAAGGAGAUUGCUGAUGAAGACCCCAACCACGUGAACCUGGUCAACGGGGACGGGGCAACUCCGCUGAUGCUGGCUGCUGUCACAGGGCAGUUGCCCCUGGUACAGCUGCUGGUGGAGAAGCACGCAGACAUGGACAAGCAGGACAGCGCGCAUGGCUGGACGGCCCUCAUGCAGGCCACCUACCAUGGAAAUAAAGAAAUUGUAAAGUAUCUGCUAAAUCAAGGGGCUGAUGUUACUCUUCGAGCCAAAAACGGGUACACAGCCUUUGACCUGGUGAUGCUGCUGAAUGAUCCUGACACAGAACUUGUUCGACUGCUGGCGUCUGUGUGCAUGCAGGUGAAUAAGGCCCGAGGUCGGCCCAGCCACCGGCCACCCCUGCCCCACUCGAAGGCCAGGCAACCCUGGAGCGUCCCUGUGCUGCCUGAUGACAAGGGAGGCCUGAAGUCCUGGUGGAGCCGGAUGUCCAACAGGUUCCGAAAGCUCAAACUUAUGCAGACACUGCCACGUGGGCUGGCUGCCAACCAACCUUUGCCUUUCUCGGACGAGCCUGAGCUGGCGCUGGACUCCACCAUGCGGGCACCCCCCCAGGACAGGACAAGUCACCUUGGGCCACCUGAAGUAGCCCAUGCAACCAAAGACAGUGGUCCUGGGAACCCAAGAAGAGAGAAGGAAGAUGUGUUACUGACAACCAUGCUGCGAAACGGAGCUCCCUUCCCCCGGCUCCCCAGUGACAAGCUGAAGGCCGUCAUCCCACCCUUCCUGCCCCCGUCCAGCUUUGAGCUGUGGAGCUCUGACAGGUCCCGCACAUGCCACAAUGGGAAGGCAGACCCCACGAAGACUGUGCUGCCCCCAAGAGCCAGCAGGGCCCACCCUGUGGGCUGCGUGGGCACAGACAGUGCUGCUGGCAGGCCAGUCAAAUUCCCCAGCAUCUCCAGAAGCCCUACAUCCCCUGCCAGCUCUGGGAGCUUCAACCACUCGCCUCAUUCUUCAGGGGGUGCCAGUGGCGUUGGCAGCAUGAGUCGGCUGGGUGGAGAGCUGCAUAGCCGCUCAGGUGGCAGUGUAGACAGUGUCCUGUCCCAGAUCGCUGCUCAGCGGAAAAAAGCAGCUGGCUUGUGUGAGCAGAAGCCCCGCCAGCAGUCCAGUCCCAUGGGGCCAGCGACUGGUUCCAGCCCGCCUGAUCUCCCAGCCUCCCUCCUGGGCAGUGGUAGUGGUUCUUCCAGUGGCACUUCCAGCAGCAAGAAACUGGACCCCAGCAAACGCCCUCCCUCUGGAGCUUCUGCUACCUCUAAAAGCACCUCCCCCACCCUCACGCCCUCCCCGUCUCCCAAGGGCCACACUGCAGAGUCCUCGGUGUCCUCCUCCUCAUCUCACCGGCAGUCUAAGAGCAGUGGGGGCUCCAGCAGUGGCACCAUCACCGAUGAGGAUGAGCUGACUGGAAUCCUUAAGAAGUUAUCGCUUGAGAAAUACCAGCCCAUCUUCGAGGAACAAGAGAGCUUUCCUUGUUUCCAAGAGCCGUUUCCUGAUUCCUGGCUGCUGUCUGCUCUUCGUUGAGGUGUCCACAGAACAUGUCUCAGAGUGUACCUCGCUUCUAUUUCGUGAGCUGUGUGCCCUUAUCCCCAAAGUCUAGUGUGGCUCUGAAGCCCUACGCCAUCACCACCGCCUGUGUGUGGACAUGGAAGCCUUCCUCACACUCACAGACGGUGACCUGCAAGAGUUGGGGAUUAAGACAGAUGGUUCCCGGCAGCAGAUCCUGGCAGCCAUCUCCGAGCUGAAUGCGGGCAAGGGGCGUGAGAGGCAGAUUCUACAGGAAACCAUUCACAACUUCCACUCUUCCUUUGAGAGCAGUGCCAGCAACACCAGAGCUCCUGGCAACAGUCCCUGUACGUGAGCCUCUAUGCUCUGACCUCAGUCCAUGGCCGGAUGGGUAAGGCCAGAAGAAACAGUGUCUAGCAGGAGGUAACUGCAGCUUUGGUGGCUCCGCCAGCCUCAGAGGCCUGAGGCAUUGAGGGUUGAGCAGUGCAUCCCUGCCUUUCCACGGUGUCUGCUCCUGGGUUAUUUCUUCACUGGGACUCACAGCAAGUGGACAGAAAGAAGGCCGGCUAGCCAAAUCAUCAGAGCUGAUGUAGUGGGCAAGGGCCUGGGAAGUCCUCCUUUCUGCUUCUGCCUCGCAGAAGCCUGAGAACAUAUAGGCCAUGCUGGAGGCCUCACAGCUGCAGAUAGAAACCCUAACCUGUACGUGCAAGUACGUGCUGCCCUCAAGGCCUGGAACUGUUCCAGAAAAGAUGCUACACAUAGAUGAGCCCCUGCAGAGGGUGGCUGUUCAUUUGAAGCAAUCACCAACGGGUCCUGUUCACAUGUGAGGAAGCUUGAUGCUGUCCCUAACGAAGUUGGUCCCUGAUUCCGCAGACGGCUAAGGAGAGGUGCCAAGACCCUCGGGAGUUUCCUGCUCACACGCAGCCUCCAGAGGACUGGCCGGGCUCCCCACUGCUCUUGACACACCCAUGACUGUAGUACAGCUGCACACAAGUGACGUGAGGGUGCAGGAGGGAGCUGUGGUGAAGACCCACAUGAGGAGAGCACCAAGCCCACCCGCUUCACUUGUCUUCAGCUCCUCUCGUUCCACUGGGCUUCCUUCAUGUGGCCAAAACCACACCAGCUGCAGUCCAGAGCCCUGCCUCUGAGUGGAGCUGCCUUACCUCAGAGCAGGGUCCUGUUUCCUGUGCAAGCCUUCCCUCUAAGUCCAGCAGACAGGGCCCCAGUCAUCUCCAUCAGGAUACCCAAUGGCAGGACUAGAAUGUGACCUUGUCACACAGUUCACACUGGGGUGGCUCCCCAAUCGUCAGAGACCACAGAGCCAUCUUGCUUCAGCCCUGCCGUUGGUUUUCGUUUUUCUCAGAUCAAUUGCAGCAUUCUUUCUACACAGGGACUAGAUUCAUAGAAAGAUUUUUGCUUGCCAGACUACAUCUAUUAAAAAUGGGGAAUGUGUCCCCUGUCUUUGUGCUCUU